GAUGGAUUUUCGUACAUUUCGUGGUUAUUACCUGAUUGGUAUUGCCAAGGUUACUAAAGCUGUCAUCCAUAAAUCCUUAAGUGAAGCCUUUCACCAUUGUAGAUUGGAAAGAACACUUUGUACUGGAGUUCAAAAGAUGAGAAAUGACUACAUAACGUUUCUUGCAAGGCGACUGGUACUUGUUAGUGGAUCCUUUGCAAAUUUAUAUACAGCAUAUUUGAAAAGUGCUUGUACACCUGGAUAUUAUGGUUCUCGGUGUAGUAUGAUUUGCAGUUGUAAUGGGACUGAAAACUGUAAUCCAUUAACUGGACAGUGUGCUGAAAAUGAGCAAUGUAAUGAAGAUUACUUAAUAACAGAGUGUGAAAAAGGUGUGAUUAAUCUGAAAUGCCCAAGACAUCAUGGAUGGUGGUUUUGGAGAGGUUACUGUUAUUUCAUAGCACCAGUAAAAGAUCGGAAUUGGGAACAAGCAAAGACUUUUUGCUUAGCUUAUCAUGAUACUGAACUGAUGCCACUGCCAGACAGUA